rnacentral:SRP_RNA from 1 species
GCUGGGCAUGGUGGCACAUGCCUGUAAUCCUAGCUACUCAGGAGGCUGAGGCAGGAGAAUUGCUUGAACCUGGGAGGUGGAGGUUGCGGUGAGCCGAGAUCGUGCCACUGCACUCCAGCCUGGGUGACAGAGCAAGACUCUGUCUCAA